UUGAUCUGAAAUCAGGCGGGAUUACCCGCUGAA
rnacentral:rRNA from 1 species